CGAAGCCUGAUGCAGCCAUGCCGCGUGUAUGAAGAAGGCCUUCGGGUUGUAAAGUACUUUCAGUUGUGAGGAAGGGGGUAGCGUUAAUAGCGCUAUCUCUUGACGUUAGCAACAGAAGAAGCACCGGCUAACUCCGUGCCAGCAGCCGCGGUAAUACGGAGGGUGCGAGCGUUAAUCGGAAUUACUGGGCGUAAAGCGCAUGCAGGUGGUUCAUUAAGUCAGAUGUGAAAGCCCGGGGCUCAACCUCGGAACUGCAUUUGAAACUGGUGAACUAGAGUACUGUAGAGGGGGGUAGAAUUUCAGGUGUAGCGGUGAAAUGCGUAGAGAUCUGAAGGAAUACCAGUGGCGAAGGCGGCCCCCUGGACAGAUACUGACACUCAGAUGCGAAAGCGUGGGGAGCAAACAGGAUUAGAUACCCUGGUAGUCCACGCCGUAAACGAUGUCUACUUGGAGGUUGUGGCCUUGAGCCGUGGCUUUCGGAGCUAACGCGUUAAGUAGACCGCCUGGGGAGUACGGUCGCAAGAUUAAAACUCAAAUGAAUUGACGGGGGCCCGCACAAGCGGUGGAG
rnacentral:rRNA from 1 species